GACGUAGGGCGCGAGGGUUGUCCGGAUUUAUUGGGCGUAAAGAGCUCGUAGGCGGCUUGUCGCGUCGUCCGUGAAAACUUGGGGCUCAACCCCAAGCUUGCGGUCGAUACGGGCAGGCUAGAGUUCGGUAGGGGAGACUGGAAUUCCUGGUGUAGCGGUGAAAUGCGCAGAUAUCAGGAGGAACACCGGUGGCGAAGGCGGGUCUCUGGGCCGAUACUGACGCUGAGGAGCGAAAGCGUGGGGAGCGAACAGG
rnacentral:rRNA from 1 species